rnacentral:rRNA from 1 species
GAUGAACGCUAGCGGCAGGCCUAACACAUGCAAGUCGAGGGAGAAGCCCUUUCGGGGGCAGAAACCGGCGCACGGGUGCGUAACGCGUAUGCAACCUACCUUUCACAGGGGGAUAGCCCGAAGAAAUUUGGAUUAAUACCCCAUAAUAUUAUUGGAUGGCAUCAUUUGAUAAUUAAAACUGCGGUGGUGAAAGAUGGGCAUGCGUCCUAUUAGCUAGUUGGAGUGGUAACGGCACCCCAAGGCUACGAUAGGUAGGGGUCCUGAGUGGGAGAUCCCCCACACUGGUACUGAGACAGGGACCAGACUCCUACGGGAGGCAGCAGUGAGGAAUAUUGGUCAAUGGUCGGAAGACUGAACCAGCCAUGCCGCGUGCAGGAAGAAUGCCUAUGGGU